rnacentral:rRNA from 1 species
GACGUAGGGGGCGAGCGUUGUCCGGAACUACUGGGCGUAAAGAGCACGUAGGCGGGGACUUAAGUCAGGUGUGAAAGACCGUGGCUCAACCACGGGGUUGCAUUUGAAACUGGGUUUCUUGAGGGCAGGAGAGGAAAGCAGAAUUCCUGGUGUAGCGGUGAAAUGCGUAGAAAUCAGGAGGAAUACCAGUGGCGAAGGCGGCUUUCUGGACUGUAACUGACACUGAGGCACGAAGGCGUGGGGAUCAAACAGGAUUAGAUACCCGCGUAGUCCCUGAG